rnacentral:lncRNA from 1 species
GCUGGAUGUGUGUACAGCGACAGGCUGUUCAUGGAGCAGGCUGUGAGUGCACUGUGAGUGUGUGCGUUCCUGCUGGGGAUUGUGUGAUGAGCCUUUUUGCAGGCUGAACUCUGGAAACAAGGAGGACAAUAGCCUUAUCUCCAUCAGGCUACCAAUCCAGGAACCUCUAACAUAGGAAUAUGAAUCUUCAAAUCACUCUCAUGUGUAAUACUGCCUUUUCCAGAUAUGGCUGGCAACCUCUCUUCCCUAGAACAAGAGCAUUCCCAAGAAGAAGCAGCAGCUGGUGGAACUUGGAGAGCUGACAACAUUACAUCAAAGAAAAAGGAAACUCAAUUCUUCUGAAGUCUGCUGCUACAGCUGCUGGUCUGUGGAACUUCUGCACAAUAUACCCUAGUGCACAGACCUGUGUUCACUACGGCUCAAAGGAACAUCUUUCAGAAAAAGCAUUCAGUUCUCCUGUUUGUUCUCAGAGCUCCUUUCCUCUGUAACUCACAGCCAUUCUUCAGUCAC